CUGGAGAGCAAACUCCGAACAAUAAACCCGGGCAGGUGGAGCUCGUCAGCCGUGGUAGGCAAUCUGCCUAGGAGAGCAAACUCCGAACAAUAAACCGGGGCUUGUGGUGCUCGUUAGAUGUCGUAGACAAUCCACGUGAUGGGAACACCAAAGAAAAGGAACAUAAAAGGAACACCAGAAAAGGAAAAUAUAGUAACAAAACAUCAAGAAAAUAAAAUAAAAA